rnacentral:rRNA from 1 species
UACGAAGGGGGCUAGCGUUGCUCGGAAUCACUGGGCGUAAAGCGCACGUAGGCGGAUCUUUAAGUCAGGGGUGAAAUCCCAAGGCUCAACCUUGGAACUGCCUUUGAUACUGGGGAUCUCGAGUCCGAAAGAGGUGAGUGGAACUGCGAGUGUAGAGGUGAAAUUCGUAGAUAUUCGCAAGAACACCAGUGGCGAAGGCGGCUCACUGGUCCGGUACUGACGCUGAGGUGCGAAAGCGUGGGGAGCAAACAGG